AGAACGAACGCUGGCGGCAGGCCUCAAACAUGCAAGUCUAGGGGGUGUAGCAAUACAUCACCGGCGGACGGGUGCGUAACGCGUGGGAAUGUACCUAUUGGUUCGGAACAACUGAGGGAAACUUCAGCUAAUACCGGAUGAGCCCGAAAGGGGAAAGAUUUCUCGCCAAUAGAUCAGCCCGCGUCCGAUUAGCUAGUUGGUGGGGUUAUGGCCUACCAAGGCGACGAUCGGUAGCUGUUCUGAGAGGAAGAUCAGCCACACUGGGACUGAGACACGGCCCAGACUCCUACGGGAGGCAGCAGUUGGGAAUCUUGGACAAUGGGGGAAACCCUGAUCCAGCCAUGCCGCGUGAGUGAUGAAGGCCUUCGGGUUGUAAAACUCUUUCGACGGGACGAUAAUGACGGUACCCGUAGAAGAAGCUCCGGCUAACUUCGUGCCAGCAGCCGC
rnacentral:rRNA from 1 species